UUAUUACUCCCUCCGUCCGGAAAUACUUAUCCUAGGAAUUGAUGAAAUUAAUGUAUCUAUAACUAAAAUAAGUCUAGAUACAACCAUUUCGAUGACAAGUAUUUCCGGACGGAGGGAGUACAUG
rfam:Triticum aestivum genome assembly, contig: Triticum_aestivum_CS42_TGACv1_scaffold_514673_6BS